UUCAGGAGUGAAGCUUCUGUCUGCUGCACUGCAGAGUUCACAUUGUACACUGGAAACUCUCAGAUUGGUGGACUGUGGUUUGUCAGAGAUCAGCUGUGAUUAUCUGGCAGCAGCGCUGAAGUCCAACCCCUCGUAUCCCAGAGUGCUGGACCUGAGUGGAACCUACAACAACCUGCAGGAUUCAGGACUGAAGCAGCUGUGUGUUCUUCUGGAGAAUCCACGAUGUCGAUUUGAUACUCUGAGACUGAGUCACUGUGACCUGUCAGAGAGAAGCUGUGAAGCUCUGUCCUCAGGUCUCAGCUCUCAGACCUCUAAUCUGAGACAGCUGGACCUGAGUAACAUUAACCUGAAGGAUUCAGGUGUGAAGCUUCUGUCUGAAGGACUAAAGAGUCCACACUGUACACUGGAAACUCUCAGGUGAGAUCAAGCAUUGUUUUUUCAUCAACUGACAGAAUUAGCAGAUUAAUAAUAAGGCAGCCCUCUAAUAAGAGGAGAUGUGGAGGUCUUCUGA